GCAUGGAGAAGUUAGACCACUUUGACUCUAUCAUCACUUUGCUGCCCUAUACCUAAGACUUAAUGCGUUUUCAUCAAGCACAAUUAACACAGGCUGCUGGAUGAUAACAAGAACAUUUUUUAGUGCAGGAGCGGGUACAGGAGGGAUUAGCACUUUGUCUGAUUAAAAAUCAAACCUCUCAAAAAAGCUGGCAGAAAAUAGAAUGACAUUUGUCAUCAGAAAACAACUGCAAAGAAAUAAAAACUAUAGAGACAUAGCUUCAGCUAGUUUAUAUUGGCAGUGCUCCAGUGAAGUCAGGGGAACUAUUCUGAUGUACUCCAGCUGAGGUGUUGGCCAUUGGCUAUAAGAAGCCUGAAAAUGAUGUUUCUAUUUAAAUGAUAGUGUAUCCAUCAUGGAUCCAUGAGGGUUAGGUUGUGUAAGAUGACUUUAUCCUAUACACCUAGCUGCCUCGGCUCAACCAGUGCCAAGCAAUCAAACAGCAGAUGAUCCUGUCCUUCAACUAUACCAUGAAGUGUUUUAGUUCAACAUGCCUGGCUUGCCGACUGACCUGUUUCCUACUUAGCUCCUCAGGGAGUGGAUGAAUGAUCUGGUUCCCCAUCCUACUUCAGUGGGUCAGCAAUGAAGACUCACUCCCUCUAAAAUUCUCUUGGUAUCUUCUGAGAUGGCAGGCCCUGUCCCCACUCCUAUUUAUUUCCAGGAGAACCAGGAAAUCCUCCAGUGUGUUUUUUAUGAGCACUUUGGGCCUCAAAGUGAAACCCAGUAGUCACCCGAGUCCUUUGGAAUUUCCCUUUUCAACAUUUACCCCCGGGCAUGGAAGCUUCUCUUAUAAUGAGUGGGGUAGCAAGGAGACAAGUAAAUUGUAGGAUGAGAUUCACUUUGGCAAAAUGUCUGAAGAGGAACAGAUGAACAGGCAUGAUUUUAUGAAUGAUAGGUGUAUCCUGAAAUAAUGCACAUUUUGACUCCACCAGUCUGAGACAGAUCUAACAUUUAUGGGAGGCUUUGAAGGGAAGAAUGUACCUCUAUCUUCUAACAAAGGAGGGGUGUGAACCUUUAUCAGUCAUGAUUCUGGAGAACAUGUUGGCCAUCCUUCUGGAGCUGGGCCACAGAAGGUCUAUGGAGGUAACAUAUAUGGACACACAGAGCUAAUGGACCAUUAGUUAGAGCUGGGAAACCCAUUAGAAACUGGCAGAUUUAGCCCCACUUUCAUAUUUGUGAACUGUCCAUGAACAAUCUGAAAACAACCUGAAUUUUUUACGGACACCUAGCUUUAACUACACUAUCUGUCUAUCUAUAAUAAAUAAAACAAUUGACAUUUAUGUGAAA